UACGUAGGGUGCAAGCGUUGUCCGGAAUUAUUGGGCGUAAAGAGCUCGUAGGCGGUUCGUCGCGUCGGCUGUGAAAACCUGAGGCUCAACCUCAGGCCUGCAGUCGAUACGGGCGGACUUGAGUACUGCAGGGGAGACUGGAAUUCCUGGUGUAGCGGUGAAAUGCGCAGAUAUCAGGAGGAACACCGGUGGCGAAGGCGGGGUCUCGUGGGCAGUAACUGACGCUGAGGAGCGAAAGCGUGGGGAGCGAACAGG
rnacentral:rRNA from 1 species